rnacentral:lncRNA from 1 species
ACACUGCAGGCUGGUGCGCCACGCCCUGCGCCUACUUCUGCGCGGGGAUCAUGUCGUCGAUGGACUGGCCCUUUUCCAGCUUCUUCUCCAUCUCCACCAUAAGCUUCACGCCAUCCACCACCAGCUGCACCUGUUCGACUUCGGAUGAGCCCAGCCGAUCGGCGUUGGAGAUGUCGAACACGGCGCCCACCGCAGCCGUGUCCACGCCACCUGCGCGGGAGCAAACGCCACAGAGGCAUUGGACAGGGAGCAGAGGUGCAGGUAGAGAAUCUGAGCCGCCAAUAGAGGAUCGGGGAUGUUCGCCAGCUUCACGUGCACGCCUCCGCGCAGCCCGGUGCCCAGGUUGGAGGGGCAGGUGAGCACGUAGCCCAGGUGCUCGUUCCACAUGAAGGGGUGACCAGCCUUCUUGAAGAUCUCCUCAAUCUGAGAAAGGGAGAGGACACCAGGAAUUGGACUCCAAAGGCAGUCUGGGGCCCACGCAGAAGCGGCGGAAAACCUCCUUCAUAUUGCCUCCCUUCUCCAUGGAGAUCACGCGGAGGUGGUCCUCCUCGUUCACCCACACAAGGAAGCUUUUGUUGUCGUUGUGCCUAAGAAGGGGUGACCCAAGACCAAGAAGUCAGCAGGAGCCCCAAUGGCCCAAGAAAGUAAACGCAUGACUUUGUUCAUAGCUGCUCCCUUUGGGCUCCAGGGGACAGACACGGGCACACUGGCUUCCCAGUCACAACUCCACGAAACUUCGGAGCAGAGAACAGGGACUUUGAUGGGCCCAAGUCCCUGAAAACCUUCAGUCUUACUUGACCCCUCCCCUGCAGGCACCCAGAAGACUGAGGUGUAAAGACCUUGAGUUCGAGGUCAGCUUCGGGUUCAGGGGCGUUGUAUACCUCCUGUGACCACAGGUCCUACACCCAAUGUUAUAUCCCCUUGGAUCCCAAGAUUCUCCUUUCGGAUUUGCAUCCCAGGGUUCUGAGAGUUCAGCAAUCUUCAGUUUUUUAAAAUUAUCAUUAAUGUAACAAUUUUAAUUAUUUUUUGUUCAGAAAGGGAGGGGUCUUGGCUGCCAUUGAACUGGUAAUUCCCCUGCCUCAGGCUCUGCAGUAUGAUGAUUGCAGGCGUGCACCACCAAGCCUGGAUGAUUUAUUAUUACUGCUGCUGCUGCUGUUGUUGUUGUUGUAUUUUCAUAUGUGUAUUUUGUUGUACAAUGCAUUUUGUUGUUGUUG